rnacentral:lncRNA from 1 species
UUAUUUUUAGUGAGACUGAAAGCUAAUAGGCAGCUGCCAGCAGUGGAGUGACAGGAUAGAGAAACAACUGUAGAGGAGCAAGAGAUGAUGGUGACUCAGACCAAAGUGGAAGCAGUGGAGGUGAGGAGAGCUGGUCAAAUUCCAGGGAAUCAUGGUAAUUGUCUUGCGCAAAGUAUCUUCCUUUAAUAUGGCAGAAAUAUUAGUGUGAAAGACAGAGGACUCUGAAAAGCAGGAGCAGGAAAUUUAAGAAAAACAGCAAAAGCAGACAUGAAGCUGAAGAACCACAGAGGAGCCAAAUUACAAGAUUACAGGCAGUACCUGAAACACAUUCAUCACAGUCAAAAGGAAGUGAAGAGACACAGAAGGGAAGCAAGAUACUGAGAUGCUGCCAAGUAUCCCAGAGUCCAUGAUGGAGUAGAGAUGAAACAAUAGACCCAGGUCAUUCCUCUGCUGGAGGUUCUGAGGCAAGCAGUAGUGCUCUGCAGAUGAACAUUCAUGACAACUUGCCUUUCAACUGGAGGUGUGUGACAGCCAGAAAAAUACCAUCGAGGUAAAGCUUUUUUCUCCUAGAGGAGCAACUGACUCACCGCAGCAUGUUGUUAUGUGGACCUCGAGUCUGUGGACUAGUGACCUUCACCUCCUUCAGUGUGUGGGUCUGUCCAGGGCUUCCAUCCCUCCAGUAAGAACCCUAACCCACAUUCCUGCAUUUGAUAACUUUGAGUUAAAUCAAGAAAAGCUUGGAAAUUUGGACAUAGUUGUUUAUAAGUCACUCAUAUUAUCUAUUAAAGUCUAAAAAUGUUGUAGUCCCUGAAUUUAGUAGAACAAUGUCUGUAGUGAGAGCAAAAAUCUUUCAGGGAAAGCUUACUCCUCCUGAUCUUCACUCCACAUACUUCACUGAUAUUGGACAACUAACCCUUUAAAAAGGUUUUGCUUGGGCUCCUUCAAAGCCAUGAAAAGUACCAAGGUAUAUCAAAGUUCACUAUCCUUUCCAUAUCUUCCAUAAUCCCAGUCACCCUUUCUAUCAGACACAAAGUGGGGACAUAGGCAGUGCCUUAAAGCAUCCUAUCAUCUACACCUAAUUUGGGGCACAUAUCUGAUAAUACUGACUCCUAAACCUUGAUUCUGAAAACCACCAUCUCUCUAUUAAAUGAUCAAGAACAUCCCACACACAACACCGGGCAAUGAUACAUCUUCAUGUAUUUCCUGAGGCCUCUGAAGGGACUGCCUCUCCAAGGAGCCA